GUGGUUAGCUCAGUUGGGAGAGCACCUCCCUUACAAGGAGGGGGUCGGCGGUUCGAUCCCGUCAUCACCCACCA
rnacentral:tRNA from 1 species